AUAAUAUUUGCAGCACAUAUGCUAAAACUGAAACAAUAUAGAGAAGAUUAUCAUGGCCCCUAUGCAAGGAUGACACAAAAAAAAAUUGUGAAAUGUUCUACAUUUCU